UGGGGAAUAUUGCACAAUGGGCGCAAGCCUGAUGCAGCCAUGCCGCGUGUAUGAAGAAGGCCUUCGGGUUGUAAAGUACUUUCAGCGGGGAGGAAGGGAGUAAAGUUAAUACCUUUGCUCAUUGACGUUACCCGCAGAAGAAGCACCGGCUAACUCCGUGCCAGCAGCCGCGGUAAUACGGAGGGUGCAAGCGUUAAUCGGAAUUACUGGGCGUAAAGCGCACGCAGGCGGUUUGUUAAGUCAGAUGUGAACUCCCCGGGCUCAACCUGGGAACUGCAUCUGAUACUGGCAAGCUUGGGUCUCGUAGAGGGGGGUAGAAUUCCAGGUGUAGCGGUGAAAUGCGUAGAGAUCUGGAGGAAUACCGGUGGCGAAGGCGGCCCCCUGGACGAAGACUGACGCUCAGGUGCGAAAGCGUGGGGAGCAAACA
rnacentral:rRNA from 1 species